GGACUUCCGGGGUGGCGCCUCCGAAAAAUGGCGGAAUUCCCUUCGAACUGAAGGGAACCCGCUGCACGGAGGCUUGGGUCCUGCCGCUACGGCGCAGCGGGGGCCCUCAAAAACCACAGGCGGAAGAAGCCUGUGGCCGUGGGACUCGGCGGGCACCGAGAGUGCUCUCUCCCCUUGUACAGGAGCCCGGCAACGGGCUCCGGAGCGGGAGGUGCGUGGUGCUGUGAGUCGACUGCUUCCUCCGUGCAGCAAAGCCGCACUGCCGUUUUCGGAGAGCGCUGCCUUCUUCUUGGACAAUCUGGCAUUUAAAACAUCUAUCCGUGAGUACCUGAUCUUGGAAGAGCUGAACUACUUUUAAGAUUGGAGAACAAUUAAAUAAUAUUGGAUCUGGACUUGAAAUUGAACUUAAUUGGGACGCGGAACGGAAAGGUCUAAACAGGAAGUCAACCUUCCGUUCUUUUGUUAAGCGAAGAAAGCAAAGAUAAAUUAUACUAAAGCUUGAAAAUUAAAUUCUGAGAGAACUAAAAUUCAACACCUAAGAUUUCUGAACCCCCCUUUGACUGCAGGAGAAGAAGGGGGUGGUUUUGGUUUUUUUUAACCCUGUGGAAGUGAGUUUAAAAUAAAGUAAUUUUCCACCGCCCUGAACCAGGAGCGGGCUGUCAGAAUUGACGUCUUGAAGUGUAUCCAGCUCGACAGAUAGUUAAAAGAAGGGUAACAUUUUGACUUUACUGUUGCCUCUUAGGGAAUUUUGGACAAAGUGUUUUUGGAAAAAGUAAGAUUGUUGCAAAAGUAAAAUUUGUUCCAUCUAGUGGAACUGAGUGAAAUUGCAAUGCAGAGAGCUUAAAAAAGAAGAGCUAUUUCUCGUGGGAAAGAAUUCUUUUCGACCUUGAAGGACAAUGCUAGUACAAAGGCUUCAACAAGUGUUCCUGGAAGGUUUUGCAAAAUUAAGUGCCCAGCUGGACCAGAUGCGUCAGGAGUCGACCUUGAUGAUGGAAGUCACCAGAGCACAGCAGCAAACAAAUGAAAUUCAGUUAAAGUCUAUACAAGUAUAUGAACCUGCUGUAGUGAUGGAGGCUUCAGAGAUGGAGGGACCAUUGGAUGGACAAGAUCAGCUUUUGAACUUGAUAAAUGAACUUGGGGCAAAUCUGAUGGGCCAUCAGAAGAUUGGAGUGGUUGAAGUCUCCAAGCUCUGUGGAAAAUGGAACUGGCAUUAUCUGCUCUCUGGCCUGGGUAAUGGGUCUGGAAUGGACUUGCUGCAAAGAGUUAAAAGCAUUUCUCUGCUGGAGUUUCCACGAUUGAAAGGGAAACAUCAACAAGAGCGGCGAAAGGGGCAAGAAAGAGACUUGAGAGCCUCGGAUACGAGACAACCAGGUUAACGAGUUGGAUUAUUGAAGUUAAAAGGACUGACAAUCUUGGGUCCUGGGGAGGGGAGGCUGGAAGUUGACUGGGCUGAAUUUGACUUACUAUUUUUUCUUUUUUACUUCUUAAUAUUGGGAAUGUUUAUAAAUGUCUGAAGGGUGCUGAAUGAAAUUACAUGGCUUAAGUAAGGAUUGGUAAAUGAUGUGUAAAAAGGUAAUGAUGUAAGAAUUUGCUAAAUAUUGAAUAUUGAAUUAAAGUUUUUAUAUGACAAGAGGGAAAAUAGAAUAAGGAAAUGUAAUGAUAGAUUGUUGUGGAGAAAAAAAAAAAGACAGAAAGGAUUUGCUGUGAAAAUUAAAAACUAAGAAACAAGAGAGGGGAGGACGAGGAAGUCUAGAAAGGAAGUUAAUGGAGAUGGUAAAGAACUACAUUUUUCUAUUUUUCUGUUUCUCUUUUUUUCUUUUUGCGGCUGGGUUUUCUUUUCUUUUUCUUUAAUAUUUUUGUAUUACUUUUGUUAUUUUUGUAUUUUCAACUUUUUUUGGAAAUUUUGUUGUUAUCCUUUGAAAAUUUAAUAAAUAUCAAUUU